AAUGAACGCUGGCGGCAGGCCUAACACAUGCAAGUCGACCGGGUGCCUUCGGGUGCUAGUGGCGGACGGGUGAGUAACGCGUGGGAACAUACCCUUUGGUACGGAAUAGCCUCGGGAAACUGAGAGUAAUACCGUAUGUGCUCGAGAGAGGAAAGAUUUAUCGCCAAAGGAUUGGCCCGCGUUGGAUUAGGUAGUUGGUGGGGUAAUGGCCUACCAAGCCGACGAUCCAUAGCUGGUUUGAGAGGAUGAUCAGCCACACUGGGACUGAGACACGGCCCAGACUCCUACGGGAGGCAGCAGUGGGGAAUCUUAGACAAUGGGGGAAACCCUGAUCUAGCCAUGCCGCGUGAUCGAUGAAGGCCUUAGGGUUGUAAAGAUCUUUCAGAUGGGAAGAUAAUGACGGUACCAUCAGAAGAAGCCCCGGCUAACUCCGUGCCAGCCGCCGCCGUAAGAC
rnacentral:rRNA from 1 species